rnacentral:rRNA from 1 species
GUGGGGAAUCUUCCGCAAUGGACGAAAGUCUGACGGAGCAACGCCGCGUGAGUGAUGAAGGUCUUCGGAUUGUAAAGCUCUGUUAAUCGGGACGAAAGAGCCUAGUGUGAAUAAUGCUAGGAAGUGACGGUACCGGAAUAGAAAGCCACGGCUAACUACGUGCCAGCAGCCGCGGUAAUACGUAGGUGGCAAGCGUUGUCCGGAAUUAUUGGGCGUAAAGCGCGCGCAGGCGGAUCUGCCAGUCUGUCUUAAAAGUUCGGGGCUUAACCCCGUGAUGGGAUGGAAACUACAGAUCUAGAGUAUCGGAGACGAAAGUGGAAUUCCUAGUGUAGCGGUGAAAUGCGUAGAUAUUAGGAAGAACACCAGUGGCGAAGGCGACUUUCUGGACGAAAACUGACGCUGAGGCGCGAAAGCCAGGGGAGCGAACGGGAUUAGAAACCCUAGUAGUCC